UGGGGAAUAUUGCACAAUGGGCGCAAGCCUGAUGCAGCCAUGCCGCGUGUAUGAAGAAGGCCUUCGGGUUGUAAAGUACUUUCAGCGGGGAGGAAGGGAGUAAAGUUAAUACCUUUGCUCAUUGACGUUACCCGCAGAAGAAGCACCGGCUAACUCCGUGCCAGCAGCCGCGGUAAUACGGAGGGUGCAAGCGUUAAUCGGAAUUACUGGGCGUAAAGCGCACGCAGGCGGUUUGUUAAGUCAGAUGUGAAAUCCCCGGGCUCAACCUGGGAACUGCAUCUGAUACUGGCAAGCUUGAGUCUCGUAGAGGGGGGUAGAAUUCCAGGUGUAGCGGUGAAAUGCGUAGCGAUCUGGGGGAAUACCGGUGGCGAAGGCGGCCCCCUGGACGAAGACUGACGCUCAGGUGCGAAAGCGUGGGGAGCAAACAGG
rnacentral:rRNA from 1 species